AUUAAUGUAGCUUAAGUUUAAAGCGUAGUAUUGAAGAUACUAAUAUAAAUAUUUAUAUUUCAUUAAUA
rnacentral:tRNA from 1 species